GGAAUCUUCCACAAUGGACGAAAGUCUGAUGGAGCAACGCCGCGUGAGUGAAGAAGGUUUUCGGAUCGUAAAACUCUGUUAUUGGAGAAGAACGUAUUUGGUAGUAACUGGCCAGAUAGUGACGGUAUCCAAUCAGAAAGCCACGGCUAACUACGUGCCAGCAGCCGCGGUAAUACGUAGGUGGCAAGCGUUGUCCGGAUUUAUUGGGCGUAAAGCGAGUGCAGGCGGUUUUUUAAGUCUGAUGUGAAAGCCUUCGGCUUAACCGAAGAAAUGCAUUGGAAACUGGGAAACUUGAGUGCAGAAGAGGAGAGUGGAACUCCAUGUGUAGCGGUGAAAUGCGUAGAUAUAUGGAAGAACACCAGUGGCGAAGGCGGCUCUCUGGUCUGUAACUGACGCUGAGGCUCGAAAGCGUGGGUAGCAAACA
rnacentral:rRNA from 1 species